UACGGAGGGUGCGAGCGUUAUCCGGAAUCACUGGGCGUAAAGGGCGCGUAGGCGGUUUGUUAAGUCCGUUGUCAAAUCCCGAGGCUCAACCUCGGAACGGCAGUGGGUACUGGUAGGCUUGACGGCUGGAGAGGCGAGUGGAAUUACCAGUGUAGCGGUGGAAUGCGUAGAUACUGGUCGGAACACCCAUGGCGAAGGCAGCUCGCUGGACAGCUCGUGACGCUGAGGCGCGAAAGUGUGGGGAGCGAACCGG
rnacentral:misc_RNA from 1 species